AUUGAACGCUGGCGGCAGGCCUAACACAUGCAAGUCGAGCGGAGCGGCGGACGGGUGAGUAAUGCCUAGGAAUCUGCCUGGUAGUGGGGGAUAACGUCCGGAAACGGGCGCUAAUACCGCAUACUAUCAGAUGAGCCUAGGUCGGAUUAGCUAGUUGGUGGGGGAAAGGCCUACCAAGGCGACGAUCCGUAACUGGUCUGAGAGGAUGAACAGUCAAACUGGAACUGAGACACGGUGCCGACUCCUACGGGAGGCAGCAGUGGGGAAUAUUGGACAAUGGGCGCAAGCCUGAUGCAGCCAUGCCGCGUGUAUGAAGAAGGCCUUCGGGUUGUAAAGUACUUUAAGCGUGGAGGCGUUACCAACAGAAUAAGCACCGGCUAACUUCGUGCCAGCCGCCGCGGUAAUAC
rnacentral:rRNA from 1 species